rnacentral:rRNA from 1 species
AACGCUGGCGGCGUGCCUAACACAUGCAAGUCGCACGAGAAAGGGUAGUUAUACCUGAGUAAAGUGGCGCACGGGUGAGUAACACGUGAAUAAUCUUCCUCUGAGUGGGGAAUAACUGAGAGAAAUCUUAGUUAAUACCGCAUAACACUUACGAGUCAAAGCAGCAAUGCGCUUGGAGAGGAGUUCGCGGCCGAUUAGUUAGUUGGCGGGGUAAUGGCCCACCAAGACGAUGAUCGGUAUCCGGCCUGAUAGGGCGCACGGACACACUGGAACUGAAACACGGUCCAGACUCCUACGGGUGGCAGCAGUGGGGAAUUUUGCGCAAUGGGGGAAACCCUGACGCAGCAACUCCGCGUGGAGGAUGAAAUAUCUUGGUAUGUAAACUCCUUUCGAUGGGGAUGAUUAUGACGGUACCCAUAGAAGAAGCCCCGGCUAACUUCGUGCCAGCAUCCGCGGUAAUU